rnacentral:rRNA from 1 species
GAGGUCCUACGGGGCGCAGCAGUGAGGAAUAUUGGACAAUGGGCGGGAGCCUGAACCAGCCAAGUCGCGUGAGGGAAGACGGUCCUAUGGAUUGUAAACCUCUUUUGUCGGGGAGCAAAGAGAUCACGUGUGGUCAAAAGCGAGAGUACCCGAAGAAAAAGCAUCAGCUAACUCCGUGCCAGCAGCCGCGGUAAUACGGAGGAUGCGAGCGUUAUCCGGAUUUAUUGGGUUUAAAGGGUGCGUAGGCGGGACGGUAAGUCAGCGGUAAAAAUGCGGAGUUCAACUCCGUCGAGCCGUUGAAACUG